UACGUAGGGUGCGAGCGUUGUCCGGAAUUAUUGGGCGUAAAGGGCUCGUAGGCGGUCUGUCACGUCGGGAGUGAAAACUCGGGGCUUAACCCCGAGCCUGCUUCCGAUACGGGCAGACUAGAGGUAUGCAGGGGAGAAUGGAAUUCCUGGUGUGGCGGUGAAAUGCGCAGAUAUCAGGAGGAACACCAAUAGCGAAGGCAGCUCGCUGGGACGUUACUGACACUGAGGCGCGAAAGCGUGGGGAGCAAACAGG
rnacentral:rRNA from 1 species